rnacentral:rRNA from 1 species
UACGUAGGGUGCAAGCGUUAAUCGGAAUUACUGGGCGUAAAGCGUGCGCAGGCGGUUAUGCAAGACAGAUGUGAAAUCCCCGGGCUCAACCUGGGAACUGCAUUUGUGACUGCAAGGCUGGAGUGCGGCAGAGGGGGAUGGAAUUCCGCGUGUAGCAGUGAAAUGCGUAGAUAUGCGGAGGAACACCGAUGGCGAAGGCAAUCCCCUGGGCCUGCACUGACGCUCAUGCACGAAAGCGUGGGGAGCAAACAGG